UACGUAGGGUGCGAGCGUUGUCCGGAAUUAUUGGGCGUAAAGAGCUCGUAGGCGGUGUGUCACGUCGGCCGUGAAAACCUGCAGCUUAACUGUGGGCGUGCGGUCGAUACGGGCAUCACUGGAGUUCGGCAGGGGAGACUGGAAUUCCUGGUGUAGCGGUGAAAUGCGCAGAUAUCAGGAGGAACACCAGUGGCGAAGGCGGCUCACUGGCUCGGUACUGACGCUGAGGAGCGAAAGCGUGGGGAGCGAACAGG
rnacentral:rRNA from 1 species